rnacentral:rRNA from 1 species
GGGUGAGUAACACGUGGGUGAUCUGCCCUGCACUUCGGGAUAAGCCUGGGAAACUGGGUCUAAUACCGGAUAUGACCAAAGGCUGCAUGGCUUUUGGUGGAAAGGUUUACUGGUGCAGGAUGGGCCCGCGGCCUAUCAGCUUGUUGGUGGGGUAAUGGCCUACCAAGGCGACGACGGGUAGCCGACCUGAGAGGGUGACCGGCCACACUGGGACUGAGACACGGCCCAGACUCCUACGGGAGGCAGCAGUGGGGAAUAUUGCACAAUGGGCGAAAGCCUGAUGCAGCGACGCCGCGUGAGGGAUGAAGGCCUUCGGGUUGUAAACCUCUUUCAGCAGGGACGAAGCGAAAGUGACGGU